UCCAUUGUAGCAUAGGUGGUUAGAGUCUCUCGGCUCUCACCCGAGAGACUCGGGUUCAAGUCCCGGCAACAAAA